CACACUAUCAUUAACUGAAUCCAUAGGUUAAUGAGGCGAACCGGGGGAACUGAAACAUCUAAGUACCCCGAGGAAAAGAAAUCAACCGAGAUUCCCCCAGUAGCGGCGAGCGAACGGGGAGGAGCCCAGAGCCUGAAUCAGUGUGUGUGUUAGUGGAAGCGUCUGGAAAGGCGCGCGAUACAGGGUGACAGCCCCGUACACAAAAAUGCACAUGCUGUGAGCUCGAUGAGUAGGGCGGGACACGUGGUAUCCUGUCUGAAUAUGGGGGGACCAUCCUCCAAGGCUAAAUACUCCUGACUGACCGAUAGUGAACCAGUACCGUGAGGGAAAGGCGAAAAGAACCCCGGCGAGGGGAGUGAAAAAGAACCUGAAACCGUGUACGUACAAGCAGUGGGAGCACAGAGCAAUCUGUGUGACUGCGUACCUUUUGUAUAAUGGGUCAGCGACUUAUAUUCUGUAGCAAGGUUAACCGAAUAGGGGAGCCGAAGGGAAACCGAGUCUUAACCGGGCGUUAAGUUGCAGGGUAUAGACCCGAAACCCGGUGAUCUAGCCAUGGGCAGGUUGAAGGUUGGGUAACACUAACUGGAGGACCGAACCGACUAAUGUUGAAAAAUUAGCGGAUGACUUGUGGCUGGGGGUGAAAGGCCAAUCAAACCGGGAGAUAGCUGGUUCUCCCCGAAAGCUAUUUAGGUAGCGCCUCGUGAAUUCAUCUCCGGGGGUAGAGCACUGUUUCGGCAAGGGGGUCAUCCCGACUUACCAACCCGAUGCAAACUGCGAAUACCGGAGAAUGUUAUCACGGGAGACACACGGCGGGUGCUAACGUCCGUCGUGAAGAGGGAAACAACCCAGACCGCCAGCUAAGGUCCCAAAGUCAUGGUUAAGUGGGAAACGAUGUGGGAAGGCCCAGACAGCCAGGAUGUUGGCUUAGAAGCAGCCAUCAUUUAAAGAAAGCGUAAUAGCUCACUGGUCGAGUCGGCCUGCGCGGAAGAUGUAACGGGGCUAAACCAUGCACCGAAGCUGCGGCAGCGACACUGUGUGUUGUUGGGUAGGGGAGCGUUCUGUAAGCCUGUGAAGGUGUGCUGUGAGGCAUGCUGGAGGUAUCAGAAGUGCGAAUGCUGACAUAAGUAACGAUAAAGCGGGUGAAAAGCCCGCUCGCCGGAAGACCAAGGGUUCCUGUCCAACGUUAAUCGGGGCAGGGUGAGUCGACCCCUAAGGCGAGGCCGAAAGGCGUAGUCGAUGGGAAACAGGUUAAUAUUCCUGUACUUGGUGUUACUGCGAAGGGGGGACGGAGAAGGCUAUGUUGGCCGGGCGACGGUUGUCCCGGUUUAAGCGUGUAGGCUGGUUUUCCAGGCAAAUCCGGAAAAUCAAGGCUGAGGCGUGAUGACGAGGCACUACGGUGCUGAAGCAACAAAUGCCCUGCUUCCAGGAAAAGCCUCUAAGCAUCAGGUAACAUCAAAUCGUACCCCAAACCGACACAGGUGGUCAGGUAGAGAAUACCAAGGCGCUUGAGAGAACUCGGGUGAAGGAACUAGGCAAAAUGGUGCCGUAACUUCGGGAGAAGGCACGCUGAUAUGUAGGUGAAGUCCCUCGCGGAUGGAGCUGAAAUCAGUCGAAGAUACCAGCUGGCUGCAACUGUUUAUUAAAAACACAGCACUGUGCAAACACGAAAGUGGACGUAUACGGUGUGACGCCUGCCCGGUGCCGGAAGGUUAAUUGAUGGGGUCAGCGCAAGCGAAGCUCUUGAUCGAAGCCCCGGUAAACGGCGGCCGUAACUAUAACGGUCCUAAGGUAGCGAAAUUCCUUGUCGGGUAAGUUCCGACCUGCACGAAUGGCGUAAUGAUGGCCAGGCUGUCUCCACCCGAGACUCAGUGAAAUUGAACUCGCUGUGAAGAUGCAGUGUACCCGCGGCAAGACGGAAAGACCCCGUGAACCUUUACUAUAGCUUGACACUGAACAUUGAGCCUUGAUGUGUAGGAUAGGUGGGAGGCUUUGAAGUGUGGACGCCAGUCUGCAUGGAGCCGACCUUGAAAUACCACCCUUUAAUGUUUGAUGUUCUAACGUGGACCCGUGAUCCGGGUUGCGGACAGUGUCUGGUGGGUAGUUUGACUGGGGCGGUCUCCUCCUAAAGAGUAACGGAGGAGCACGAAGGUUGGCUAAUCCUGGUCGGACAUCAGGAGGUUAGUGCAAUGGCAUAAGCCAGCUUGACUGCGAGCGUGACGGCGCGAGCAGGUGCGAAAGCAGGUCAUAGUGAUCCGGUGGUUCUGAAUGGAAGGGCCAUCGCUCAACGGAUAAAAGGUACUCCGGGGAUAACAGGCUGAUACCGCCCAAGAGUUCAUAUCGACGGCGGUGUUUGGCACCUCGAUGUCGGCUCAUCACAUCCUGGGGCUGAAGUAGGUCCCAAGGGUAUGGCUGUUCGCCAUUUAAAGUGGUACGCGAGCUGGGUUUAGAACGUCGUGAGACAGUUCGGUCCCUAUCUGCCGUGGGCGCUGGAGAACUGAGGGGGGCUGCUCCUAGUACGAGAGGACCGGAGUGGACGCAUCACUGGUGUUCGGGUUGUCAUGCCAAUGGCACUGCCCGGUAGCUAAAUGCGGAAGAGAUAAGUGCUGAAAGCAUCUAAGCACGAAACUUGCCCCGAGAUGAGUUCUCCCUGACCCUUUAAGGGUCCUGAAGGAACGUUGAAGACGACGACGUUGAUAGGCCGGGUGUGUAAGCGCAGCGAUGCGUUGAGCUAACCGGUACUAAUGAACCGUGAGGCUUAACCUU
rnacentral:rRNA from 1 species